GUCAGUGCGGCUUCCCACUAGGCGCGUGGUACCCGAGGCCGGGCCGGAGCCGCAGGCCAGCCGCGAUUCCUUCGGGCGAUGCUGGGGGCUUUCCGGUCGGGGCCGCAGCCGCUUCCGGAGCCGCGGGCGAGGUGCGUUCCCCAGCCUGGUUUGCUCUGGGCUCUGACCCGCCGCCGCGAAUCUCCGCUCGUAACUCCGGGCCUGAACCUGGAGGAGGGAGGAUUUCCUCUGUGCAGCUUUCGAGCGGUAGACUCACCCUGCCAGGCAGACCUAGAUUGGCAUAACCAGAGAUCAGUUCCAGUUGUGAUGCAGUGGGUGUCUACACACUUCUGAUGACACCUUUAUUUUAAAAGCUGAUGUUCCAAGGUGCAAGCGGUCUUCUCUGUCUUCUUUAUGGCCAGUAAAAUUCUCCAGAAGAGAUUUAUGGCAGCCUCACUCCCAGUAGUUUCUGCAUUUAGUGAGAUAAGAUGGAAUCUUGCUCUCUUGCUCAGACUGGAGUGCAGUGGCAUGACCUUGGCUCACUGCAACCUCACCUCUCGGGUUCAAGCGAUUCUGCCUCAGCCUCUCGAGUAGCUGGGACUACAGGUGGGAGACCUCCACAGAACCCUUCCAGCAAGCUGUCUUCUAAAGCAAACAAGAAAAGGAAAGUCUGAGCAGUUUUGAUUAGAUUUCCCAGAAGUCAAAGCAAGGAAAAAUGAAAAAGCUUCAUUUCUCACGUUCUUAAAAGAGAGCACAGAUGUUGCAUCAUCUGGUUAGAUACCCUGAGAAUAAAAUCUGGAUCCAGUGAGAGGAAAGAUUCUGGGUGCUCAUGAAAAAAGAAACAAAACAAAACUUGGGAGCCUCUUGAGAGUGUACAGCAUCAGCCCUUGCCAACUCUUGUUUAUAUGCAUUUAACUUUCAGUUAACCAUGGGAAUAAUUCAUGAAAAUCCAAUCUACAAACAAAGGCCAUCCUAACGUUCAUGUUAUUCUUUUCCCUAAGAAUCUUUCACAAGAGCUAUAAUCAAGUAGAAUUAUGCUUUGAUUUGAAUUCUAAUUCAAUUGAAAAUAAAAAAUGAGGGCCGGACGCGGUGGCUCAUGCCUGUAAUCCCAGCGCUUUGGGAGGCUGAGGUGGACGGAUCACGAGGUCAGGAGAUCGAGACCAUCCUGGCUAACACGGUGAAACCCGAUCCCUACUAAAAAUACAAAAAAUUAGCCGGGCGUGGUGGCAGGCGCCUGUAGUCCCAGCUACUCGGGAGGCUGAGGCAGGAGAAUGGCGUGAACCCAGGAGGCAGAGGUUGCAGUGAGCCGAGAUCAUGCUACUGCACUCCAGCCUGGGCGACAGAGCGAGACUCUGUGUAUAAAUAAAUAAAUAAAUAAAUAAAUAACGAAAAGGUUGCCAU
rnacentral:lncRNA from 1 species